CCUACGGGAGGCAGCAGUGAGGAAUAUUGGUCAAUGGACGAGAGUCUGAACCAGCCAAGUAGCGUGAAUGAUGACUGCCCUAUGUGUUGUAAACUUCUUUUAUAAAGGAAUAAAACGCGGCACGUGUGCCUUUUGCCUGUACUUUCUGAAUAAGAAUCGGCUCACUCCGUGCCAGCAGCCGCGGUAAUACGGAGGAUCCGGGCGUUAUCCGGAUUUUUUGGGUUUAAAGGGAGCGUAGAUGGGUUGUUAAGUCAGUUGUGAAAGUUUGCGGCUCAACCGUAAAAUUGCAAUUGAUACUGGCAGUCUGGAGUACAGUUGAGGUAGGCGGAAUUCGUGGUGUAGCGGUGAAAUGCUUAGAUAUCACGAAGAACCCCGAUUGCGAAGGCAGCUUACUAAACUGAGACUGACAUUGAGGCUCGAAAGUGUGGGUAUCAAACAGGAUUAGAUACCCCAGUAGUC
rnacentral:rRNA from 1 species